rnacentral:pre_miRNA from 8 species
UCUCAGGCUGUGACUCUCCAAAGGGAAGAAUUUUCUGUUGCCUGAAAGAAAACGCACUUCCCUUUCGAGUGUUACCGUUUUGAGA